UUGCUCGCUUCAGCAGCACAUAUAUUAAAAUUUGUACAAUGCAUAGAAGGUUGGCAUGGGUUCUGAGCAAGGAUGACAUGCAAUUCAUGAAGCAUUCCGUAUAUAU